GCCUUCCUGGUCCCUAGCACAUCACGGCCUCAAGAAGGAAGACUUUUUGUUCGUCCAGGAUCAGCGGACCUGAGGUUACCCCGUUUUGGGCUGUGCAUCUCACAAUUGUUUUUUCUUGUGAGGAAGUUCUGUAUCUGGAAUGAGAACCAUGAAACUAAUCUCAAGUAGGACAUUUCUAAGGAAUAAAUGGAAUUGAGCAGCACCAAAAGGACCUGAAAGGACUACUUGAGGAAGCUGAGCUACAGAAGACUUUGCCAGCAGAAGGAUUUAUGGGAACCAAUUGAUCAGAAAUACCAUUAGAGAAACUUUUUAAAAUUUUCAACAGUAGAAAAAUUGAGUCUUGGUUCAAAUUAAACAAAAUCUACACUAAAGAGAAACCAAAUAAAGUCUCAAAUAUAAAA